rnacentral:rRNA from 1 species
GUGGGGAAUCUUGCGCAAUGGGCGAAAGCCUGACGCAGCGACGCCGCGUGAGUGAUGAAGGCCUUCGGGUUGUAAAGCUCUGUGGAGCGGGACGAAUAAGUCGUGGCCAACAUCCACGAUGAUGACGGUACCGCUUUAGCAAGCACCGGCUAACUCUGUGCCAGCAGCCGCGGUAAGACAGAGGGUGCAAACGUUGUUCGGAAUUACUGGGCGUAAAGCGCGUGUAGGCUGCCUCGAAAGUCGGAUGUGAAAGCCCUGGGCUCAACCUAGGAAGUGCAUUCGAAACUUCGAGGCUGGAGUCCUGGAGAGGAAGGCGGAAUUCUCGGUGUAGAGGUGAAAUUCGUAGAUAUCGAGAGGAACACCGGUGGCGAAGGCGGCCUUCUGGACAGUGACUGACGCUGAGACGCGAAAGCGUGGGGAGCAAACAGGAUUAGAUACCCGUGUAGUCC